UCCGGAGGGGGCAAGCAUUAAUCGGAUUUAUUGGGCGUAAAGGGCGCGUAGGCGGGUUUGUAAGUCAGAUGUGAAAUUCCGAAGCUCAACUUCGGAGCUGCAUUUGAAACUACAAGUCUAGAGGAGUGGCGGAGAAAAUGGAAUUCCACGUGUAGCGGUGAAAUGCGUAGAUAUGUGGAAGAACACCUGUGGCGAAAGCGGUUUUCUAGCUUAUUCCUGACGCUGAGGCGCGAGAGCAAGGGGAGCAAACAGG
rnacentral:rRNA from 1 species